rnacentral:lncRNA from 1 species
GGGGUGGGGAUGAUGAAGGCAGGGGCUGCUCCUGUAGCUGAGAUCUGGGGUUGACCUUCGGAGUCAGUGUGAGGAGGUCAGAGAAUGACCGAUUUGGGUUUUAGCCUACUAACUGAUCACUGAGAGCAACCCCAUGAACAUGCUAAGCAGGAUUAAAUUUAUCAGUGUUGGGACAGCUCUGUGGAGUAGCUGGAGCCAUCCCUGCGUUUGCCGCCGGGGUUAGGUGCAGUGUGAGUGGAAGAAAGACCUUCAUUCUGGAGGAUGCUCUGCUUGGCCUGGAUGCUGCCCAUCAGAAGCCCCAGCAAGACUGUUUUCAGCAGGAAUUCCCCAGGUUUGAUGACAUCAUUCUGCUCGCUGUCCCAGGUGGGUGACUCAGUUGGGUUUUUGCUGGAUGUUGUAAGUGCUUG